UACGUAGGGUCCGAGCGUUGUCCGGAAUUAUUGGGCGUAAAGAGCUCGUAGGCGGUUUGUCGCGUCUGCUGUGAAAUCCCGAGGCUCAACCUCGGGCCGGCAGUGGGUACGGGCAGACUUGAGUGCGGUAGGGGAGAAUGGAAUUCCUGGUGUAGCGGUGGAAUGCGCAGAUAUCAGGAGGAACACCGAUGGCGAAGGCAGUUCUCUGGGCCGUAACUGACGCUGAGGAGCGAAAGCGUGGGGAGCGAACAGG
rnacentral:rRNA from 1 species